UUUAUUGGCCGUGAGGGCGGGUGAGAAGCCUCGUGGGUUCGACCGGAGGCUGCAACGCAGCGGAAGGAACGUCGGAGCAACGCGACGACGGCCCCCGAAGGGGGUGAGGCACGAAGUGCCGAAUAAUCCCUCCCUCUCGCCUU
rnacentral:sRNA from 1 species